rnacentral:rRNA from 1 species
GAUGAACGCUGGCGGCGUGCCUAAUACAUGCCAGUCGAGCGAACGGACGAGAAGCUUGCUUCUCUGAUGUUAGCGGCGGACGGGUGAGUAACACGUGGAUAACCUACCUAUAAGACUGGGAUAACUUCGGGAAGCCGGAGCUAAUACCGGAUAAUAUUUUGAACCGCAUGGUUCAAAAGUGAAAGACGGUCUUGCUGUCACUUAUAGAUGGAUCCGCGCUGCAUUAGCUAGUUGGUAAGGUAACGGCUUACCAAGGCAACGAUGCAUAGCCGACCUGAGAGGGUGAUCGGCCACACUGGAACUGAGACACGGUCCAGACUCCUACGGGAGGCAGCAGUAGGGAAUCUUCCGCAAUGGGCGAAAGCCUGACGGAGCAACGCCGCGUGAGUGAUGAAGGUCUUCGGAUCGUAAAACUCUGUUAUUAGGGAAGAACAUAUGUGUAAGUAACUGUGCACAUCUUGACGGUACCUAAUCAGAAAGCCACGGCUAACUACGUG